rnacentral:rRNA from 1 species
UACGGAGGGUGCAAGCGUUAUCCGGAUUCACUGGGUUUAAAGGGUGCGUAGGUGGGUUGCCAAGUCCGUGGUGAAAUCUCCGAGCUUAACUCGGAAACUGCCGUGGAUACUGGUAAUCUUGAAUAUCGUGGAGGUAAGCGGAAUAUGUCAUGUAGCGGCGAAAUGCUUAGAUAUGACAUAGAACACCGAUAGCGAAGGCAGCUUGCUACACGAUUAUUGACACUGAGGCACGAAAGCGUGGGGAGCAAACAGG